CCUAUCUUGGCGCCAAAUUGAAUUUCGCGGCCGCGCCGGUAAAGGCCUGGGGACUAGGUGCUCUACCGUAUCUGAAAUAGCCUUCACCAAUGAAAUCCGGCAUAAAAAUCCUGGCGGUCUAAAUGUUCAGUAUAUUUACACAUUCCAUCGACUUUCUGUUCAGCAGACUUUGAUACCUUGAACGAAAGUUUAUGACGAUGAUUUUCUUUGCAAAAACUGUACUUUAAAAAUUCGUUAGCUUCUGAAUUUGAAAACUGAUCUGGAAAGACGGAACUUUUGAGUAUAUGGUUAUAUUGCAUGGUUCUAAUGAUUCGUUUAUUUUUCUGUUGUUUCCCCUUGUGUAAAUAUACUGCUUUGUACGCAGCACGCAACAGUUUAGACAGGGUCAUGAGGCAGGAUGUGUGCAAGAAAAACUUUGCCAGAGUUUUGUUUUUUGAAAUAGGACUACGAUUGGAAAUUGCUG
rnacentral:lncRNA from 1 species